rnacentral:rRNA from 1 species
GAUGAACGCUGGCGGCGUGCUUAACACAUGCAAGUCGAACGGAAAGGCUCCUGCUUGCAGGGGUACUCGAGUGGCGAACGGGUGAGUAACACGUGGGUGAUCUGCCCUGCACUUCGGGAUAAGCCUGGGAAACUGGGUCUAAUACCGGAUAGGACCACAUUUUGGAUGGUGUGGUGGAAAGUUUUUCGGUGUGGGAUGAGCUCGCGGCCUAUCAGCUUGUUGGUGGGGUAAUGGCCUGCCAAGGCGUCGACGGGUAGCCGGCCUGAGAGGGUGUACGGCCACAUUGGGACUGAGAUACGGCCCAGACUCCUACGGGAGGCAGCAGUGGGGAAUAUUGCACAAUGGGCGCAAGCCUGAUGCAGCGACGCCGCGUGGGGGAUGACGGCCUUCGGGUUGUAAACUCCUUUCGCUAGGGACGAAGCGUUUUUGUGACGGUACCUGGAGAAGAAGCACCGGCUAACUACGUG